AUUUUAUACUCUCUGAAAGUGAAAGAUCUUGGAAAAUAUGAAUAAAGAAGUAGAUCAUCGUCAAUUCGCCUGGAAUUGUAACUUAUUUAAUCACUACUUUUGGAUAUUUCUGGGAAUACUUUGCACCAACAUGCACACAACAGGUUUUAAAACUGGCCGUUGGUACAAUAUGCCAAGGGAGGAUAGAACAUGCAACUUGUGUAGAAAUGGUAUUGGAGAUGAAUUUCAUACUUUGUUUAUAUGUAAAAAUUAAUAUACGCCACAAGGUCAAACGCAAAAGUGAUUCAAAUUAAUUGAGUUUUGUACUGUCUUUAUUAUUCAAUUGUGUUUGCAUCAGAUAUAAAUAUUAUUUUAA